AUCCCCAUUAUUCCCUAUGGGAAAAAGCUUAAAGACAUGCCAACUUCAAAAAUUCUUUAAAAAUCACCUCUUUGCCCAAUUUCUUUGAAAUUUGGGUGGUGGCUUCCACUCAUUGGGCACUACCACCCACCCACACUCUUUUGGCCCAGUGACCCUUUUUUAAUCUGAAUCUAUUUGGAUUCAGAAAAUUCAGGUACAAAUCAAAUAAGGAGUGAUUCAGAGGGGUCAGGUUUGGUUCCAAAACAAAUCAGGGGUGUUUUGAUUGGGGUACAAAUCAAAAUGAAAAAAUCAAUUCGUGCACACCCCUAGCUGUGAAUGUACUUACAAGCGUACACAUUUAGGCACAUUGCAGAUUGUAUUAACACAUCAGAAGGUGGAGCCUGUCCCCUCCCACUAGAUAUGCUUCAAUUGUUAACAUGGAGAAGGAGCCCUGUUAUCAGAACAGUACAAAGCCUAUGACACUUUCUGUUCUAUUUUCCAACUCCCUUCCUAAAGAUCCCUAAUACUGAUUAUGUCUUUUCCAUUGCUGCAGUAUACUAAGGUAACGUUUUCCUUGGGCUUUCUAGUGUGAUCCAGUCACUUUCCUGACUGUUUGCAGCCAACACAGACCUCAGGAGUGUAUAAAAUGAAUUUAAGGAUGCUCUCUUUCUAAUCUACAGUUCUUUUCUUUCUUCAGCCAUACUUCUGCAUUUGGGAUUGAUUCAUGAACCUAUGGUAUUUUAUACCAAGACUGCAAUCAACAUCCCACAGCCAGAUCAUUUGCCAUUUCCAUCACAUGUUGGAGCUCACAGACUGUAACAAGGACUCAGAGGCUGCAACCCACAAAGAAGGCUGGAUCACUCUAGCAGGGCUGAUGCACACCACCACUCUGCUUGUGGUCAACUGCUCUUCUUUCCAGCCCCAAUCUAUGCUUUUGUGAUUGCAGAGAAGGCCACCACUUAGUCACAGAGUGCAUUCUUUGCAUACAUAAAGCCUUCAGUCAAACUCAGGCAUCCCCCAUCUGAAAAGGAAGAGGAAGAAAAGGCUCUAGCUGAGAUCUUGGAGAACUGUUUCCAGUAAGAGCAGAUAGUCUUAGGCUAGAUGGGCACUGGCUUGAUGAAGUCAAUGCAGCAAGCCAUGCAAACUAUUUUAUUUUGCUUUAAUGGAUAUCAAGUUAUAUAGUGCCCUCCAUGUACAUUGUGCUUUUCAAGGAAUGAGCACACAGGGACUUUCAAUCCAGAUAGUGACACAAGGGAGACUAUCAUCUACCUCCAGCCCUAGAUACAGGUGAGCAGCCAUUCUGCAUCGUUCUACAUUCCUGUUUUGGAAAGUAAUCUGCAAGAUCAACACAUCAAGCAAGCUUUUCUCCAGCAAGCAAGUCCUGCCAAUUUGGAUGGACUUGUGUCUUUUAUUAAAAACAGUCGCCCAGUAAAGAAGGUGAGCUUUUUUUCCCCAAGUCAGCAUUUUCACAAGCAGCU